rnacentral:lncRNA from 1 species
AACAGCCAUCGCCUUCCACUUCUCUGCAUUCUCUCUCAUCUCCUCCGCCUCUUCUCCACCACUCAUCACCUUCUCCAAACACCUUCUAAUCUCCUCCCCAUCCACAUCUCCUUCCUCCCCAACCUUCACCUUCACUCCAAUCCUCCACGUAUCCUCCACAAGCUUCGCCGUUGUACACUGAUCAGCAAACUGCGGAAACGCAACCACCGGAACACCACUCUCUAAACUCUCCAACGUCGAAUUCCAACCACAAUG